AUGAGACAAAGCAGUCGCACUGGAUUAUUCACUUCGGUGAUAAAUAUUACAUCCUGACAGCAGUUCAGCAGGUUCUCCUAACAACCGCCUGGUUUUGCUCAAAGCUCUAUAGACUUGAUAAGCAUUCUAUCAUGAAGAUCAGAGCAAUCUUAUCUACUUCUUCCUGGCAGACUACAUCUUAAGUACAGCCAUCUCCUUCCUGGACACAGUAAGCAGCUUCAGACUCCUGCCUGAUGCUUGAUCCAUUUGGUGUUCGGCUCGUGCUUCGGGGCCUGUAAGGAGGAAUGUGCUUCCUGAUGCCAGCACAUGUCAAUGGCCUAAACCGUGGCCCUGCCUAAACUGCACUGUGUCAGAUACCAACCCUCUGGGAGCGGCAAAAAGCAAGCAGAAUAAAAUCAACAACCCUUAUGUGCAUAAAUGUCUGCGAUGGAGGAAUGGUGGAGUUUCUUCCUUGCAAAAGCUGGGUGAAAAGUAUCAGGAGCCUGAUCAUCUUGGACCCUAGUGGAAUGACUGGGAACAAUCUUACCUCAAAUUCUGCACAUCCUGAGGUUGGCAUAGUGCUGGAGGUAGGGGAAAAGACAAACUCUGCAUGCUGAAACACAAAUCGAGGUGCAUGGACAGUGUUUAAAGAGACCUGUCUGUCUUCUCUCAACAGCUUUAGUGAUACUUCGUGUCUCUCAAUGGCUUAACAGCUUUUUAUAGCCAAGCUCUUCUUGCAGGGCACUGACCUCCUUAGAAAAACUAUCCCCCUCUCUUCAGGAGUCUGACAGAGAAUUAAGAAAAUACAGCCACAAUAUCAAUGACCAACCGUGUGAAAUCUGGCCCCACGUUCAGAUAAGUAUAUGUACACUUGCUUAAGUAACUGCCGCUAUAAUCCCAUGCCUGUAAACGGAGUCACGGAAAAGGAUCUCUCCUACCUCCAAGUCACGUAACCCUUGGAUGUGUCCUUCACUGUGCAGCCCAGUGAGCUGCUGGUGGCUGGUGCACUGAGAUCGCUGGAGCGCCUGUGGCUCUGGAAUCUGCUGUUUUGAAAGUGAUUUGGGAGCUGCCUUGGUCCAAACCUCUUUCUGUUCUUCUCACGAGAUUAUUUGGUGUAGCUGAAGGACUGAUGUUGCUGGUGCCAUAGGAAUUAUUCCAUGGGAAGCCCAGAAUGAAGAGCCAGCAACGCUACCUGCAGUGUGACGUGGUCUGUCCAGGAGCACAAGAUGCACAAGAAAUGUCUGACAGCUGUUCUUCUUCAGAUUCACGGCAAGAAAUUAGGAGCUUUUAUUUCUGAAGAUCUUUAGAUCCUCAAAUUCCCUCCUCCAAAAGAUAAUCACAGCAUGUAGGCCUUGGGCAGAGACUUUGCACAGACUGGAUUUCGGGGCAUUUUGCUUAUAUAGGGCAGCCAGGAGAGUGUCAGAGCUCUUUGAUACUUAAGACACCAGUUCAUUUGUUUAAAGAUCUCUGUUUUUAAGCCUGGUUUCCCCAGUACUAACUCCCUGAUACGAGGGCUGAGUCUGUUCUGUUUCAUGCCAUCUUUCUCUGGCGUUUGAUUUCCCUUCUCUCUUCAGCUCAUUGACUGGAACUAAAGAACUGCUGAUUUUCAGAUACCAACCAUUCCCUGCCUCCCGGGGGAAAUUCUUGCCUUCUGCAUGUACGUUCCCAGAAAUACACCUCUGACUCAGUCUGAUUACGAAAUGCUGCAGCCAUUUCCCCAGCUACUUCUACAGAGUGUCAUCAUUUAUUCACAUUCAGUCCCCACGUAAAUUUUAUUAGGACCUUGAGAGGUCCUUUUCAUGAGGAAUUUGGUGCAGUAUUGCAAUCGUGCACAGCAUAUUCUUUCCUUACAGCACAUCUUUCAUCUUUCCUGAUUCUCUGUUGGCACUAAACUGCUAUAAUUAGGCGCUGUAAACAAAUCCUCAGCUUCUCUGAUGUUGUGAAACACUCAAACUUGAUUUCUGACUAUCCUGUUCCUCAAAUAAACCUUGGCUCUCUACUAAAGGCAUCUCACUAACGUUCUCGGGUGAUCAGGAUUGAGGCAAGGAGUUCACCAGCUCUCGGUGGUGGUGGUUAACCCCAGCGAACAGGGUGCUCUCUGCAGAGCUGGAUCCUGCCACUCACCCUUGUAUCCAAGCGUUAGUCCCAACAACAAUUUCCUGGUCUGCCAGCAAGUAAGAACAGGCCUUCAAAAGUGGGCAUAUCUGCAUGUGAUACAGGUUCACAAAUUGCUCACUUGCACAUAAAUAUCUGUGCCCGAGUGCAGGUGUGUGCAGGUGAACAAAACAUAUUGCAAAAAAUUAUAUAUCUGCAUGAAUGAAUAUGCACAUGGGUGUUACUUUAGCUCAGGGAACAGCGCAUGAGAAUGCUUUGUUGCAGCUGCUCUGGAUUUUUCUUUCUCUGUUUUUAUGCAAUUUAUGUUACAUGCAUUUUUUUUAGUGUGAUCCUUUAAAACUUGGAUUUACUACACCAUAUAAUCUUGAAAAAUCCACUUAAGAUAGACAAUACCUAUUAGAGUCUAAACUAUUGCUGUUUAUUAUUGUAAAAAUAAAAAUAAAAAUCACCAGGCUUGCA